rnacentral:rRNA from 1 species
CCUACGGGAGGCAGCAGUGAGGAAUAUUGGUCAAUGGCCGAGAGGCUGAACCAGCCAAGUCGCGUGAGGGAAGACGGCCCUACGGGUUGUAAACCUCUUUUGUCGGGGAGCAAAGCGAGUCACGUGUGACUCAUUGAGAGUACCCGAAGAAAAAGCAUCGGCUAACUCCGUGCCAGCAGCCGCGGUAAUACGGAGGAUGCGAGCGUUAUCCGGAUUUAUUGGGUGUAAAGGGCGUGCAGCCGGAGAGACAAGUCAGAUGUGAAAUCCACGGGCUCAACCCGUGAACUGCAUUUGAAACUGUUUCCCUUGAGUGUCGGAGAGGUAAUCGGAAUUCCUUGUGUAGCGGUGAAAUGCGUAGAUAUAAGGAAGAACACCAGUGGCGAAGGCGGAUUACUGGACGAUAACUGACGGUGAGGCGCGAAAGCGUGGGGAGCAAACAGGAUUAGAUACCCUGGUAGUC